CCUACGGGAGGCAGCAGUGAGGAAUAUUGGUCAAUGGGCGGAAGCCUGAACCAGCCAAGUAGCGUGCAGGAUGACGGCCCUACGGGUUGUAAACUGCUUUUAUACGGGAAUAACGCGCCUUACGUGUACGGCUUUGCAUGUACCGUAUGAAUAAGGACCGGCUAAUUCCGUGCCAGCAGCCGCGGUAAUACGGUAGGUCCGGGCGUUAUCCGGAUGUAUUGGGUUUAAAGGGAGCGUAGGCUGCAUGGCAAGCGAGCUGUGAAAUGGCCGGGCUCAACCCGGGCCUUGCAGUGCAAACUGGCGUGCUGGAGUGCGUGGAAGGCUGGCGGAAUUCGUGGUGUAGCGGUGAAAUGCUUAGAUAUGACGAAGAACCCCGAUUGCGAAGGCAGCUUGCUGCAACAGAACUGACGCUGAUGCGCGAAAGCGUGGGUAUCGAACAGGAUUAGAUACCCUGGUAGUC
rnacentral:rRNA from 1 species